rnacentral:lncRNA from 1 species
AAAGCAGUUGAGUAGGCAGAAAAAAGAACCUCUUCAUUAAGGAUUAAAAUGUAUAGAUCAAAAAUCUUACUUUUAUAGGAGCAGUUUUCAACUCCUAAAUGUUGAAUAUAAUAGUCAGUUAAAUUCACCAGCUACACAGGAAUACAGGACUUUGAGUGGAAGAAUUGAAUCUCUGAUUACUAAAACAUUCAAAGAAUCAAAUUUAAGAAAUCAGUUCAUCAGAGCUCAUGUUGCCAAACUGAGGCAAGAUGGUAGUGGUGUGAGAGCGGAUGUUGUCAUGAAAUUUCAAUUCACUAGAAAUAACAAUGGAGCAUCAAUGAAAAGCAGAAUUGAGUCUGUUUUACGACAAAUGCUGAAUAACUCUGGAAACCUGGAAAUAAACCCUUCAACUGAGAUAACAUCACUUACUGACCAGGCUGCAGCAAAUUGGCUUAUUAAUGAAUGUGGGGCCGGUCCAGACCUAAUAACAUUGUCUGAGCAGAGAAUCCUUGGAGGCACUGAGGCUGAGGAGGGAAGCUGGCCGUGGCAAGUCAGUCUGCGGCUCAAUAAUGCCCACCACUGUGGAGGCAG